AUGCUUGCUUUGGCAGCACAAAUAUUAAAAUUGGAACAAUAUGAAGAAGGUUCAUGGGGCCCCUGCACAAGGUUGUGAAAUCAUUAAGUGUUCCUUUUCUAAUUUUG
ensembl:snRNA U6 U6 spliceosomal RNA